CAUUUCCCAAUCGUUUGUCCAAAAGAGACUUUUUAUGGAAAACUUCCACUCGGGAUAGGACAGAGUGCAUUCCGUUUAUGAUGUCCCUUCCUGAGAUGCAUACACUGGGAUGUUGAGAGAAAUCAUAUUGGGAUCAUUCAGAAAUCAUAAUGAUGUUAUUAUAGGGAUACCCUGCCUUCCACUCUGACUUACAAAAUAAAGGCUGUAACCCAUACUUCAGUAUUUAACAAUUAUCAGUAAUCAACAAUGAUCAUGACACAGCUCAUAUCUGAUUGGCACACAUGCAGCUAGGUCCUCCAGGUUGAGAACUUCUGAUCAGAUCAACGGCCACCGGCAUGAUCUAGACAGUAUGUACGCUAGAGGGCCAGGAAGAGGAGCAAUCUGUGUGGACGAGAGUUAACAAGUAAUGCUUCCUGGAGGAGGAGGAGCUUGAGUUGCCUGUUGAGUAGGACGAACAUAUGUCCUGGUUUGCCUGGGCCGGCCUCUAUGUUGGUAUUUCUGGUAUAAUUAUUUUAUAGUUUCAUUUAUUUGAAACAGAGUCUUACUCUGUCACCCAGGCUGGAGUGCAGUGGCAUGAUCUUGACUCACCGCAAUCUCUGCUUCCCAGGUCCAAGCGAUUCCUGUGCCUCAUUCUCCCCAGUAGUUGGGACUACAUGUGUGCACCAUCACACCUGGCUAAUUUUUUGUAUUUUUGGUAGAGAUGGGGUUUCACUGUGUUGGCCAGGCUGGUCUCAAACUCCUG
rnacentral:lncRNA from 1 species